AUGAGGGCGUUAUUCUGGAAUAUUAGGGGGUUCAGUGCUAGGGGGCGCCGUGACCAACUUAAAGAGUUGGUUCGUUCUAAUUCUAUUGACUUUGUGGGGCUGGUUGAAACCUUCGAGGAUUCCUUCUCCCCUAAUGAUUUCUCUGCUAUUGUGGGCAUGGACAGAUUUAAUUGGCAAUUUUUACCUGCUUCGGGUCACUCUGGGGGGAUAUUGAUUGGAUCCAAUAAAGAUAUUUUUGAUUUUGUUGCUUUUGAUCAUGGGAUCUUUUGGGCCAGUGUUGUUCUUUCUCAUAAAGCUAUGAAUAUUCUCUGUGAGUUUAUCGUUGUUUAUGGGCCUGCGGACCAUUCUUUGUCAGCUUUAUUCCUUAAUGAACUUUCGAUGAAGAUCGAUUCUUGUAACUUACCGAUGGUUAUCGGGGGAGACUUUAAUCUUCUG
rnacentral:rRNA from 1 species